AUUAAAAAAUAAAAAAUAAAAUAAAAAUCAAAGUUAUUUAAAAAUGAAAUUGCGAACAGGGGUGAAUUGAGAUUGCGAUUUUAUACCGAAUUAUCUUGCAGGCCUAAUGCACGAUAAGGAGCAAGAA